AGCUACACUGUAGCCACAGAUGCUUUGGGGCAGAUUGACAGAAGUCUGCCCCAGGGCAAAAUCAAUCGACCCCACCAGAACCUCUGACCACCACCAGCAAGCAAAGCAGGUCAAGUGUCGUCCCAACAACACAACCGCAAACAACAACUUCUAUUUUCUGAGCCACUGUUGUCUCGGUUGGAAAAUGUCGGGCGUGCAAACUUCAGCAUUCUUAAAAGGGUAAAUGUCAACGAAUGCCUUGCAGCAACAACAUUUCAUCGCCAAGACUCCACAUCAAAGCAGUGCUGCUGCAAAAGGCUACAAGUAAUGCUUCGUUAACAAUUCCACUUGAUUUCUUUUGGAUUCUGGAGCUCAAGAUCAAAAGUGGGUUUUACUUUGUUUGCAUCUGACAGGAGAGGAAAUCCCCAUUCUCAUCAUAUCUCCGCCUUAAAUGACAGGCGGGGUGCGGAUGGCCAAUC